AGAGAGAGAGAGAGAGAGAGAGAGAGAGAGCGAGAGAGAGAGAGAGAGAGAGAGAGAGAGAGAGAGAGAGAGAGAGAGAGAGAGAGAAUUAUUACUACAUAUCAAAGCUUCUAAAUUUAACUUCCCUUUCUGUUUAGUGGGUCAGCUGGGCAAGGGGGAGAUAGGGAGAGUAAAUGGGGAAGAGAGGGGAGACUAGCAGGGGUGAGGGGAGCAUAAAGGGAGCUUGGCAGGGGUGCUAGGGUGAGGGGAGGGGCGCCAGGGAGACUGAAGUAGCGACAGGUGUUAAGUAGUGUUAGUGAGGCAGGUAAAUGGGAAAUGGUUUCAGGUAAGAGGGUUGCCAGGUAAACUUAUUAAGGUAUAUUAGUACAGGUACACACUGACAAACAAACAGACAGACUGACUUAAUUUCACCUAAUGUUUCCUAACUUAGUGUAACGUGACUUAAUAUUUCCUUACUUAACCUAACUUCACCUAACCUAACCUAACCUAACUUCACCUAAUGUUUCCUAACUUACCCAGCUUAGUGUAACGUGACUUAAUGUUUCCUUACGUGACUCAACCUAAUUUCACCUAACCUAUUCUAACUUAACCCAUCCUAAUGUAACCAAACUGAACUUUACCUAAUUCCAUCUAACUUUACUUGAUCUUAGCCAACUUGACCUAAGCUAUCACUAUUCCAAUUUAAUCUAACUAAAAGACAAUGAUAGUCACACACACACACACACACACACACACACACACACACACACACACAUUCACACACACACACAUUCACCAAAGCGUAAAGUAUAAACGACUACAAACGAUGCCAUUUAUAAUACUAUUUAUUUUAUAGUGAGACGUUAUGACGAGAACAUUUUUCCUCCAGACGCAACGUUAUUCCAGUUGUGACUUUGAAUUUUUUGUAUAACGUUAAGAAUUUUAGUGCUGGUCUAGUCAUAGGUUAAGUUAGGUUAGGUUAGGUUAGCUCAGAUGAGAUACAGUGAGGUUAGGUUAGGUUAGGUUAGCUCAGAUGAGAUACAGUGAGGUCAGGUAAGAUGAGGUGUUAGAUUAGGUUAGGUCAGAUUAGUUGUAGUCAGGUAAGAUAAGUAAGUUAAAAGGUUAAUUUAGAUUAGGUUAGGUUAGGUGAAGUGAAGUGAGUUGAGAUGUGGUUAGGUUAGGUUAGGUUAGGUUAGGUUAGUGAAGUUAGGUUAUGUGAAAUGAGUUUAAAUGAAAUUAAAUUAGGUUAGGUUAGGUUAUUUGAAGUGAAGUGAGUGGAAAUGAGGUUAGUUUAGGUUAGG